ACAGAGGGUGCAAGCGUUAAUCGGAUUUACUGGGCGUAAAGCGCGCGUAGGCGGCUAAUUAAGUCAAAUGUGAAAUCCCCGAGCUUAACUUGGGUAUUGCAUUCGAUACUGGGAAGCUAGAGUAUGGGAGAGGAUGGUAGAAUUCCAGGUGUAGCGGUGGAAUGCGUAGAGAUCUGGAGGAAUACCGAAGGCGAAGGCAGCCAUCUGGCCUAAUACUGACGCUGAGGAGCGAAAGCUAGGGGAGCAAACAG
rnacentral:rRNA from 1 species